AAUACUCUGUUUUGGGCACGGCAGAGAAGGAGCUUGUCUUCUCCAUCCUCAGCAGUCCAACUCUUCUCAGUCUUGUGAAUAAGAGAAGUCAGCAGUCAGAAAUGUGUUUCAGGGUGACAGAAGUCCUUGUUACAGGAUCCCAGCAGACAGGGAAGAGUGAGACCUCCUGUAGGAUUGGGAAGCAGAAUUUAUGCACACGUGCACAGAGCUCUGCCUGUAAAACAAGGACACUGAGCACUGCUUUUACAGUCUACAAGCCUGCAAGUUCUUGUAAUUGCAAUUUCUGGGGGAGCUGUGUGGUUUCCUCUUCUUUUGGAUGUUGAUUGCCUUUUGGGUCAAAUGUUGACACAGCUUGUGCUUCCAGGUAACACAUAUAAUACCUCAUGGAAAAGAAG
rnacentral:lncRNA from 12 species